CUAGGAAUAUUGGACAAUGGGCGAAAGCCUGAUCCAGCAACACCGCGUGGAGGACGAAGGCCUUCGGGUCGUAAACUCCUUUUUGGGGGGAUGAGAAAGGACAGUACCCCCAGAAUAAGGCCCGGCUAACUACGUGCCAGCAGCCGCGGUAAUACGUAGGGGCCAAGCGUUAUCCGGAUUUACUGGGCGUAAAGCGCAUGUAGGCGGUCUGCUAAGUCGGACGUGAAAGCCCCUGGCUCAACUAGGGGAGGCUGUUCGAAACUAGUAGACUAGAGGGUGGUAGAGGAGAGCGGAAUUCCAGGUGUAGCGGUGAAAUGCGUAGAUAUCUGGAGGAACACCAGUGGCGAAAGCGGCUCUCUGGCCCACUCCUGACGCUGAGAUGCGAAAGCCAGGGGAGAGAACGGG
rnacentral:rRNA from 1 species